rnacentral:rRNA from 1 species
UACAGGGGGGGCAAGCGUUGUUCGGAUUCAUUGGGCGUAAAGGGUGCGUAGGCGGCGCGGUAAGUCGGGUGUGAAAUCUCGGAGCUUAACUCCGAAACUGCAUUCGAUACUGCCGUGCUUGAGGACUGGAGAGGAGACUGGAAUUUACGGUGUAGCGGUGAAAUGCGUAGAUAUCGUAAGGAAGACCAGUGGCGAAGGCGGGUCUCUGGACAGUUCCUGACGCUGAGGCACGAAGGUCAGGGGAGCAAACGGG